GACGAACGCUGGCGGCGUGCUUAACACAUGCAAGUCGAACGGAAAGGCCCUGCUUUUGUGGGUUGCUCGAGUGGCGAACGGGUGAGUAACACGUGAGUAACCUGCCCUUGACUUUGGGAUAACUUCAGGAAACUGGGGCUAAUACCGGAUAGGAGCUACUGCUGCAUGGGGGUGGAUGGAAAGUUUCGGCUGUGGGGGAUGGACUCGCGGCUUAUCAGCUUGUUGGUGGGGUAGUGGCGUACCAAGGCUUUGACGGGUAGCCUGCCUGGGAGGGUGACCGGCCACAUUGGGCCUGAGAUACGGCGCAGACUCCUACGUGAGGCAGCAGUGGGGAAUAUUGCACAAUGGGCGGAAGCCUGAUACAGCAAUGCCGCGUGCGGGAUGCCGGCCUUCGGGUGGUAAACCGAUUUCGCCUGUGACGAAGCGUGAGUGACGGUAAUUGGUAAAGAAGCACCGGCUAACUACGUG
rnacentral:rRNA from 1 species